UUCAUUACAGAACCAGCGGUAUAGGUGAUAGGUGAGACUCCACAUAGAGAGGGAACUUUAAUGAUUCUACAUGCUUUACAACAACCUAAACUUAACAAACAGCUCAGUUACGUGUUCCUAGAUAUAUUCAUCACAGAAUUGUUUCCAGAGUUAAAGCAGUGAUCAACUUGAGUGAAUACUUGAAAUCAUCAGCAAGAAAAUUUUAUAUAUAGAACAAUAAUGUUUCGCUUAACUCAAUAUUUAUAUUGUUCUGUUUGUGAGAUCUAAUUUUAAGGUUACAUUCAAAAUUUGAAAGUGGGAACGGACAAUGAUUCAUAAUGUACAUAUCAUUCCUAUUUGCCCGUAUGUGCUUAAAUCCAGUCUGCUGAAACCUAAAAUGAUAAACAUUUGCCACCAGUAUAAGGCUAGACCAACCUUUUCAUUCUUGAAGACUAACUAGCAUAUAUACUAAUGACAGACUAACUUUUAAUAUUCACUUUUGUAUCUCAAAAUUGAGAAUGGACAGUUUUCAAAGUUUAAUGUAAGAAAUUUAGCAGGUUAAAGGUUAACUAGCCUCCGAGUCUGAGUGGUGAAUGGCUACCUAACAUCGAUCCUCUACUCAUUGAGGGCAAUUUCCUUGCUAAAACUGUUUAAAUCAGCAUUAUAUCAGAGGUUUAUCACAAUUUUGUUAUAACUUGUAUACGUUAUGUCAAAUAUGUAAUAUUGUCAUUUAUAUGUAUUGGAUGUUUGUCUGUUUGGGUAGAUUAUAGAUCCACUGUUAUAAUCAA